rnacentral:rRNA from 1 species
AUUGAACGCUGGCGGCGUGCCUAACACAUGCAAGUCGAGCGGUAACAGGUGUAGCAAUACAUGCUGACGAGCGGCGGACGGGUGAGCAAUAUUUGGGAAUCUGCCUAUUAGUGGAGGAUAACCCGGGGAAACUCGGGCCAAUACCGCAUACGCUCUACGGAGGAAAGCCGGGGACCGCAAGGCCUGGCGCUAGUAGAUGAGCCCAAAUCGGAUUAGCUAGUUGGUGAGGUAACGGCUCACCAAGGCGACGAUCCGUAGCUGGUUUGAGAGAACGACCAGCCACACCGGAACUGAGACACGGUCCGGACUCCUACGGGAGGCAGCAGUGGGGAAUAUUGGACAAUGGGCGAAAGCCUGAUCCAGCGACGCCGCGUGGGUGAAGAAGGCCUGCGGGUUGUAAAGCCCUUUCGGUUGGGAAGAAAAGUAUUGCCUAAUACGCUAGUACCUUGACGUAACCAACAAAAGAAGCACCGGCUAACUCUGUGCCAGCAGCCGCA